rnacentral:rRNA from 1 species
GAGACCUGAUGCCGAGCCGAUUGUGGUGAAGUGGAUGAUCCUAUGCUGUCGAGAAAAGCCUCUAGCGAGUUUCAUGGCGGCCCGUACCCUAAACCGACUCAGGUGGUCAGGUAGAGAAUACCGAGGCGUUCGGGUGAACUAUGGUUAAGGAACUCGGCAAAAUGCCCCCGUAACUUCGGGAGAAGGGGGGCCAUUUCUGGUGAUGAGUCUUGCACUCUGAGCUGGGGGUGGCCGCAGAGACCAGCGAGAAGCGACUGUUUACUAAAAACACAGGUCCGUGCGAAGCCGUAAGGCGAUGUAUACGGACUGACGCCUGCCCGGUGCUGGAACGUUAAGGGGACCGGUUAGUCACAUUUCGGUGUGGCGAAGCUGAGAACUUAAGCGCCAGUAAACGGCGGUGGUAACUAUAACCAUCCUAAGGUAGCGAAAUUCCUUGUCGGGUAAGUUCCGACCUGCACGAAUGGCGUAACGACUUCUCGACUGUCUCAACCAUAGGCCCGGUGAAAUUGCACUACGAGUAAAGAUGCUCGUUUCGCGCAGCAGGACGGAAAGACCCCGGGACCUUUACUACAGUUUGAUAUUGGUGUUCGGUUCGGCUUGUGUAGGAUAGGUGGGAGACUUUGAAGCUUGGACGCCAGUUCAGGUGGAGUCGUCGUUGAAAUACCACUCUGGUCGUGCUGGAUGUCUAACCUGGGUCCGUGAUCCGGAUCAGGGACAGUGUCUGAUGGGUAGUUUAACUGGGGCGGUUGCCUCCUAAAGAGUAACGGAGGCGCCCAAAGGUUCCCUCAGCCUGGUUGGUAAUCAGGUGUUGAGUGUAAGUGCACAAGGGAGCUUGACUGUGAGACCGACGGGUCGAGCAGGGACGAAAGUCGGGACUAGUGAUCCGGCGGUGGCUUGUGGAAGCGCCGUCGCUCAACGGAUAAAAGGUACCCCGGGGAUAACAGGCUGAUCUUCCCCAAGAGUCCAUAUCGACGGGAUGGUUUGGCACCUCGAUGUCGGCUCGUCGCAUCCUGGGGCUGGAGUCGGUCCCAAGGGUUGGGCUGUUCGCCCAUUAAAGCGGUACGCGAGCUGGGUUUAGAACGUCGUGAGACAGUUCGGUCCCUAUCCGCUGCGCGCGCAGGAGUCUUGAGAAGGGCUGUCCCUAGUACGAGAGGACCGGGACGGACGAACCUCUGGUGUGCCAGUUGUCCUGCCAAGGGCAUGGCUGGUUGGCUACGUUCGGGAGGGAUAACCGCUGAAAGCAUCUAAGCGGGAAGCCUGCUUCGAGAUGAGGACUCCCACCCACUUGAUGGGGUAAGGCUCCCAGUAGACGACUGGGUUGAUAGGCCGGAUAUGGAAGCACUGUGAGGUGUGGAGUUGACCGGUACUAAUAGGCCGAGGGCUUGUCCUCAGUUG